UUUUUUUUUUUUUUUGAGACGGAGUCUGGCUCUGUCGCCCGGGCUAGAGUGCAGUGGCCGGAUCUCAGCUCACUGCAAGCUCCGCCCCCGAAGUUUACGCCAUUCUCCUGCCUCAGCCUCCCGAGUAGCUAGGACUAGGCUACUUGCCAGGCUAGUUUUUGUAUUUUUUAGUAGAGACGGGGUUUCACCGUGUUCGCCAGGAUGGUCUCGAUCUCCUGACCUCGUGAUCCGCCCGUCUCGGCCUCCCAAAGUGCUGGGAUUACAGGCUUGAGCCACCGCGCCCGGCCAACAAAUGUUUGGUAGGUUUUAUUCAACUUUUCUAUUGUUGUACUUGUCCUUAUAGGAUGAGCUGAUCUAAAUGUAACAGCUGAAAGUGUAAGUCCUUGACAUCAAUUUUUAAAUGAUUAAGGCUAAAUAUAACACAUUUUUUCAUUCUAUUGUAUAUUCAUUUGAUUAUUAUUAAGGCUGGAUUUUUAUGUGCUUGCAAAUGGGUUAUAUUUCAUAUUUUAUGAAAUGUGAUUUCAUUCUUAUCUCAUAUAUUAGGUAUGAGUUUGUAUGAGCUCUUGUGAAAUAAUCAUAUCAACCCUUUGUUAUUAUGUUCAAAUAAUUGCAAUUGCACCUAGGCGACUGUUUGCUUGUUACACUGUUGUUUUAACAUAAUCCAGUGUUUAAUACAAUCAAGUCUAUUUUACUGUUCACUUAGCAAUUUUGUUACAAUGUUUUAAGCCUAUAAAAUAAAGUCUCAUUAGACUUCCUAAGGUUUGAGUUUGGGUAAUGCAUUUUAUGUAUAUAAUGAGUGUAAAAGCUGAUUUUUUUCCAAACUGUUAGUCCAUAUAUUACAAAACAUUUUCCCUCUCCUUUAAUUUGUGGUCCGGCCAUUACCAAAUAUUUCAUUUUUAUAUAUAAUUUGUUUGCCCACAUGUUUUGCCUCAUUAAUAUAUUUAUUUUGGUGCCAGUAUGGUUUUAAUUAUUAUAACUUUAUAUUUUAAUAUUUGAUAAGAAUAGUCACUCAUUAUUCUUCUUUCUCAAAAAUUGUACUUCACUAUUCUUGACUACUUUUUCUUCUAGAGUUAUAAUAAAUCAAAUUCCUCUCACCACUACCUCAAAAAGUAAAAAAUGAAAGGGAGAUUGUUAUUAUAUUUCCAUUAAACUUGGGAAAUAAUUAACAAUAUAAAAAUGUUAUCCUUCACACUUGAAACCAGUCUAUGAAUUUGUUUUUUAUCUCUUUUAAAAGUUUAUGUGUGAGUUAAUGAUUGCUGACAUUUACACUGUUGACUUAUGUUAAUGUUUGUAUGUUUUAAUAUUUUACUAAUUAUUAUUUAGGUUUUCAUUGACUACUUUGGAGUUUUACACUAUAAAAAUAUUUUUUCAAUACAUAAUGUUGUAUCUCUUUUUUCAUUCUAUGUAGCUUUUCUUUCUUUGGUAUGUUUUAUUACAUUGAUCAGAGUUUUAUAAAUACUAUUAAAUAAUAUUAUUAAGGUAAAAUCAUUAUAGCAACUUCCAUCCCAUCUUGUUAUAAAUAUGUACACUUUUAGUAUUCUGAACUAAUUUUGAUAUUAAUAAUUAGGAUACAAUAUUUAUUAUGUUGAAAAAUAUUUUAUUUUUUCUAUUUUCACCAUUUUAUCAGGAACAGAUAGUAAAUUUUCUCUUCUGCUUUCAAAAAACCUAUUAAUAAUUUAUUUCUUAUUUAACCUACUGAUACAAAGUACUUCAGUUGUGUAGUUCCUAAAUUUGCAAACUUUUGUACUGCUUGGAUGUAUAUUAUUUUGUUGUGGUAAAUAAUACUGUAUUUUUAAAACAGAACGUACAAAUUAUUUUUUAUUUGAAGUUAUUUAAUGCAUAAUCUUUCAGCACUAUUAUUCCUUCAGUAGAAUGACAUUAGUAACAAGUAUAAAAUAGUCCCUUUUGUCAUGUUUACUGUUUUGGAGUUUUUUUGCCAAAAAUUCUGUCCUGUUUGAUAUUCAUAUUGUAUUUUUGAUUUGGACGUGAACAUGUUAGGCUGGAAAAAACUUUGCCAUUAAAAAAUAUUUCUGUGUCCUUUUUCUUUAAGUAUGACUUUUUUAAGCACCAUCAAAUCAUUAGACUUUCAUUUUAAUUUAAUCUAAGGAUCUUUCCAUUUGAAUAAGAAAAUUUAAGCCAUUUAUACUUGUCAUAAUUUUUAAGCUUGAUUGAACUUAAACUUUCUUCUCUUAAAUCGUUCGUUAUUGUUGUCUUUCCAUUUUGUCUUUUGAAUGGACUAUGUUUGUCUUUUUAUCUUUGAUAAUUAUUUAGAAAAUAGAUAUCCUGCUUUCAAUUCAACUAGUGCCAACACUAAAUUGUCUACAACUAUACUUACAUGCAUUCUUAUUUAAUGACUUGAAAAUAAAGCAACAAUGCUGCUUCUUCUAAUGCUUUUAUUUCCUUCCUCUCCUCUUUCCACAUUGUGAUCACUAGGUAUAGAUGCUUUAUUUAAAAAUGUAAAACCCUCCAGGAUUAUUUUACUGAAAACAUUGCUCCCUUAGUAAAAAAUAUCUAGCUAUCAGCAUCAAUUCCCAAUUCACUUUGAUUUCACUAUAUUUCACUUAUUUUGUCUUUUCCUUCAAUGCUUAGUAUUAAUCUUUUUUACUGGAAUUUCUUAUUCUUGAGUUUUUAUACUAUCUCACCUCUCAGUGAUCUGGACAAUAUUUCUCUGCAAUUUUUGCAGAAAAGACUUUUGGUUGUUAUAUUCUCUGAUACCUGGAAGAUUUUGUUAUUCUGUUGCUUUUAUGCAUAAGUUGAUAAUUGGGUAGGCAUAAAACGUUUUAUGGAACAACUCCAUUUCUACAUAAAUAGCUGUAGUUCCAAAUAUACCAUCGUGUUAAAACUAAUACUAGCUGGUACAAUGAAAAUGACGUAGCUAGUGCAUCAGUGGUGUUAUCUCCAAUUCCAUUUGUAAAAUGGCAGCAAGUAGAAGUAAUUGAACUCUCAUAAGGAAACAACCAGACUUUCUAGUAUACUUCAAAGUUGUUUCUCUUAAAAUUAUGUGGACAUUUACCUGUGUUCUUUAAAAAGUUCUUGUUCUAUAUAAGAAAGAUGAAGGCAAUCUACAAAAGCAUAUAUGUUUUUCCUUCACAUGUGCUUUAAGACAUUUUCUUUAUCCCAGAAAUUUAAAAAUUUAUUUAUGUCUUGUAUUCCUUAAUUUUGCUCAAAAGAAACCCAACAAUGUCAGUGUAGUUGUUACAUAUGGAAAGUUUUCUUUUAUUAUAACUAAAGUUUUUACUUCUGAUCC
ensembl:lncRNA